rnacentral:rRNA from 1 species
GAUGAACGCUGGCGGCGUGCCUAAUACAUGCAAGUCGAACGCUGAAGCUUGGUGCUUGUACCGAGCGGAUGUGUCGCGCACGGGUGAGUCACGCGUAGGUCACCUGCUUGGCAGUGGGGGAACACUAUUGGAAACGAUCGAUAAUACCGCAUGACCUCCGUUUUCGUGUGAUAACUGUUUAAAUGGCGCAAUUGCUCCAUUACCAGACGGCCUUGCGUUGUAUUAGUUAGUUGGUGAGGUAACGGCGCACCAAGGCGGCGAUACCUAGCCAACCUGACCGGGGGAGCGGCCACACUGGGACGGAGACACGGCCCAGACUGCUACGGGAGGCAGCAGGAGGGAAUCUUCGGCGAUGGACGGAAGACUGACCGAGCAACGCCGCGUGAGUGAAGAAGGAUUUCGGAUCGUAAAGCUCUGUUGUAAGAGAAGAACGAGUGUGAGAGUGGAAAGUUCACACUGUGACGGUAUCUUACCAGAAAGGGACGGCUAACUACGUG